rnacentral:rRNA from 1 species
GACGAAGGUGGCGAGCGUUGUUCGGAAUCACUGGGCCUAAAGCGCACGUAGGCGGCAUUGCAAGUCGGAUGUGAAAUCCCUCGGCUUAACCAAGGAAGUGCAUCCGAAACUGCAGUGCUUGAGUACUUAAGAGGAUCGCGGAAUUCCCGGUGUAGAGGUGAAAUUCGUAGAUAUCGGGAGGAACACCAGUGGCGAAGGCGGCGAUCUGGGAAGAUACUGACGCUGAGGUGCGAAAGCGUGGGGAGCAAACAGG